UGAGUACAGUAGAGGUGGGCGGAAUUCGUGGUGUAGCGGUGAAAUGCUUAGAUAUCACGAAGAACUCCGAUUGCGAAGGCAGCUCACUGGACUGCAACUGACACUGAUGCUCGAAAGUGUGGGUAUCAAACAGGAUUAGAUACCCUGGUAGUCCACACAGUAAACGAUGAAUACUCGCUGUUUGCGAUAUACAGUAAGCGGCCAAGCGAAAGCAUUAAGUAUUCCACCUGGGGAGUACGCCGGCAACGGUGAAACUCAAAGGAAUUGACGGGGGCCCGCACAAGCGGAGGAACAUGUGGUUUAAUUCGAUGAUACGCGAGGAACCUUACCCGGGCUUAAAUUGCAGUGGAAUGAUGUGGAAACAUGUCAGUGAGUAAUCACCGCUGUGAAGGUGCUGCAUGGUUGUCGUCAGCUCGUGCCGUGAGGUGUCGGCUUAAGUGCCAUAACGAGCGCAACCCUUAUCUUCAGUUACUAACAGGUCAUGCUGAGGACUCUGGAGAGACUGCCGUCGUAAGAUGUGAGGAAGGUGGGGAUGACGUCAAAUCAGCACGGCCCUUACGUCCGGGGCUACACACGUGUUACAAUGGGGAGUACAGAAGGCAGCUAGCGGGUGACCGUAUGCUAAUCCCAAAAUCCUCUCUCAGUUCGGAUCGAAGUCUGCAACCCGACUUCGUGAAGCUGGAUUCGCUAGUAAUCGCGCAUCAGCCACGGCGCGGUGAAUACGUUCCCGGGCCUUGUACACACCGCCCGUCAAGCCAUGGGAGCCGGGGGUACCUGAAGUACGUAACCGCAAGGAUCGUCCUAGGGUAAAACUGGUGACUGGGGCUAAGUCGUAACAAGGUAACCA
rnacentral:rRNA from 1 species